UCAGUAUUCAGUGAAAGCUCACUGAAAAUUGGAAUAUUUUUGGUGGGAUCUUGCUGAAUAAGGACAAAUUUUUAAAUGGAGUGACGUUGAACUGUUAAGCAGAAAAAAGCGUGAACAUCUAUUAUAUAUAAAGAGAAUGAAAAAGGUGAAUAGUGAUUUGGUGUCACCAUGCUUCAACAAAAUUAUUAGGAUAAAAAUGCCCCCAAAACAAAAAACUUCAAAGGCAUUCCAAAAUAAUGCAACAAAUAAGGUAGGGGCAUUUUCGUCAUUUUAACAGUAUUUCUUUAAUAAUUUACUUUUUGGUGCUUUUUUUUUAAUUAGUACCUCACAAUAAGCUAUCAAUAAUGUGAUUCAAUUUCUUUAUUUUUAAACACAUUCAAAACAUCUUAAGAAGCGUGUAAUGCCGGUUAUAAAAAAAGGUUUUUCGCAAGCGAAUAAUAAUGUGAUUAAAUAAGUUAUCAAAUGAUUGUUUUUUAUUUUAUUUUUAACAAACGAUAUUAUCUAUACUAAGGGGGAGGGGGUGGGCUUAGCCUCACAAUGGGCUAGCAACAAUGUGAUUCAAUCAAUUAUCUAUUAAAUAUUAUUUUCUCUAUUUGUAAACAAUUUAAAAUAUCGUGCAAUGUCGGUUAUAAAAAAGGUAUUUCACACACGGAUAAUAAUGUGAUUAAAUUAAUUGUCAAACAAUUUUUUUUUAAAAAUAAACGAUAUUAUCUACACUAAUGGGGGUGGGCUUAGCCUCACAAUAGGCUAGCAAUAAUAUGAUUCAAUCAACUGUUUAUUAAAUAUUUUUUUCUCUAUUCUUAAUGUAAAUUGACACACCCCGAUCCUAGAAUCAAGGCGUGCUGGCCAUCACGUGGGCGUGACGUAACCAAAAGUGCGAUGCGGAAGCAAAAGAUAAAAGAAAUACGAAGGAAUAAAAACCAACUACUAGCAAUAAUAUCCAACUAACAUGCUAGAGUGAGUUUAAGUGUGAAACACACACAUUCAGAGCAUAAGUACUAAGUGCAGUCAAGUAGGACCAUAACUAAAUUACAACACCCGAAGGUGAGUCCUACAUUUAAGUAGUCUGUCAGAAUGUCGUGGGAAUCCUCGUGAGCCUCCAACAGUGCUAACUAGAACCUGGAGGGGCGCAAAACAAGAUUGAGUGGGUCAGUAAAACAAAGCUUUUCGAAAAUAUUUCAUUAAACAACACUUUUAACCCCUCACUGUAAAACCUGUAUACUUUCCCAGAAAAAUAGUAUACAUAAUCAUAUAUCACAGCAAAACUCAAAUCACAAGUCUUUAACACUUUUCAAGAAUACGCCAUACUAUGAUUCAAAACAUGAUAAGGAUGCAUCAAUAUAACAGGUGAAAUAAUGAAUCAACCGGAGACCCUGCAGUUGUCCUGUACGGUUAAUUUUAUAGCUCAAUAUCCAACCCAACCGGAGUCACUACUGUGACCUGUACGGCACUACUCUGCACAUAAAUCGGAACUACCUGAAGUAGUCUGUACGACAAGAAUGGUGUAAGAAUACGCUCUAGUGUUUCUCUCAUCAACAACUGUAUAAUAAUCUAAAGUCACCUACAAGUCGGAACCACCUCUAAUGGUCUGUACGACAUGUCGGAAUCACCUCUAGUGAUCUGUACGACAUGCACCUACUUGGAUCCAAGGUGAGCGUGUGGUGUGGGGUGAAUAAUAUAAGCACUAACACCAGGGGUGCAGGUUAUGAGCUCUUAACACAAUUCGCAUCAUCAAUAAACCAUAUGAACAACAUAAAACUCACAUGAUACUCACCUGUGCGUCCACAACACCAUUGCACAUAUAUGCAUCAAAUAUUAAUUCAUAUAAUUCAUAUAAUAUGCAUGCACAACAUUUUAAAACAUACUUUCAUUUAUAUUCAAUUUCUGGGAAACAUCAGUAGUAUAUAGGUAUAAACAGAAAAUAACUGCCCACUCAUUGGUAAGUCGAAGGGUUGUAACCCCCGUGACGCCCUUGAAUGCGCUCGUCCUCGUGAUUGGUCUCACCUAUAUGCGAAACAACUAUAAAAACGUUAUUUAAAGCACAUAACCAACAAUACGUAAUAACUUCUCAUACGAUGCUCAAUUUGGGUAUAUGAAUAUACCACAGUGACCUACUCGACGUCACGGAUG
rnacentral:lncRNA from 1 species